rnacentral:lncRNA from 1 species
AAAGACAAGAAAUAAAUAAGACCAUAAAAUAAAAUAAGAACCUGAAAUAAAAAGGCCGAAAGUACGGACGCCGGGAAAUAAAAAAAACUUAUUAAAUUCUUAACGGAGAAUAAAAUAAUACUAAACUCUCAACUUUAGAGAAGAGAACCUUGUGGUACUAAGCCUAGUUCUCAAUUCUCCAAGUCAAGUGUUAUAUUUUUGAGUGAAGAGAACUAGCCUAUUUAUACUAAAAUACAAGAGAGGAAAAGCAAAAACUGGCCGAUGUGGGACUUAGAAU